CGUGACAGGUUUAGACUCAGCACAGCAUAAACUUAUGUUGACAUGGAGUAUCUUUUUCAAGCUCAGUUUUCUUUAGGGCAGAGAUUUUUUUCAGAUGACAUAUGGGUUGUCACCAGUGGCUGAUGCAGUCAUUUGGCCUUGUGGUUGACACAUACACAUAUAGACAAAGGAUAGCACAGUUGAUAGGGGCUUUCUCCGUUCAUUGCAGCACAGUGUGGUUUUAGGAAUGGUCUGGUGUUAUUUGCGAGAUGGAUGAGGCCACAGCAAGAGUGUGUUUACUGGAGAUACACUGAUGGGUGUUUCAGAGAAUUGAGUAGAGUUAUUCAAUAACAGAUGAUGCAUGAUUGCCGUUUACUUUUUUUGAGAAUAUUGGUGGCUUCAUGUUGGGUCUCAAGAUAUGACUCUAAGUGUUACAUUGUGAUGAAGUGGCUUGAAUUUAUUGUGAGGUUGUGGUUUAAUGUAUGGUUUUGUUUAUUUGUUUUGUUUAAACCAACAAAAACAUUGGGGUUCCCAUUCUCUUGUACAUGGUUAACUCUGCUAAGGUGAGGGGGAGCAGUUUGUAGUGGUUUGAGUUAAGUGAGUGUUGGGUUUUGACACUUGUAGUGAUAUUUGGUUUUGUGUUGUGAUUGAGUGUAUAUUCUUUUUCACAGAGGAAUUGCCAUUUUAUAUGAUUGGGGAGCCCUAUGGUUGGUAGUGGGUUUAACCUUAUUUGUUUUUUCCUUUUGUGUUUUUGCCACUUCUAAUUAUUCUUUGUGCCCAAUAAAUUUGUUGUAUUUGCAAGGAAACACACUGUGGUUGUUGCCCUUCUUUUAUAUCCUCCCCAUCACUGGUGAGGUCUGGGGAGUUAUAAUCAACAGAGCACAACAAAUCAUCUGGACCCUCCAAAAGCCUUGAUCAAGCAUUGCUUUUCUUCGUCUUGUAUAAUUAAAUGCAAUGCCAUUCACGAAAAGGGAUAAUGUAAUUCGCUUUUACAGAUGGAUUUCGAAAAGGUUAGAAGUUAUGACCGUUUUUGGCAUAUUUUUAUCAAGUUGAUUAUAACUCCAGAGAAGGCUCUGAUUUCUGAGAGAAUAGUAAAAGUCAUGUGCCCCAACACAAGUGGGAUGAAGUGCCAGGACAACUCAUCUCUCUUUUUAUAAAUUAAAAACCACUGAUCAGACAAUACUCGUUCUCGAAUUUUAUUGUCCAAACAGACGGUGUGUGUUUGUCUAGUGAACUUUUUGUAAAAAAAUUUCAUGUUCUGACUUUUACCCGUUGCUGCAAAUAGACGGCUGCUGGUGUAGUCCUCACUGGCCCUCUCUGCUAAAAACAAAACAAAACAAUAGAAGCCCAAUAGAAACCAUCACAGAAAUUCCAGUGGUUUCCAUUCAAAUACCAUUAUGAACUAUUAGCUUUUUCCAGUAAAACCAUUACAAAAUUCAAUUUGUAGUGUGUUUUGGGCAUUUUUCCAAUAGGAUUUAACAUCCCAAUACAAUCCAUCACAUACCAGUAGAGACUAUUAUAGUUUCCAGUACAAUACA